UUAAGCGACUAAGCGUACACGGUGGAUGCCCUGGCAGUCAGAGGCGAUGAAGGACGUGCUAAUCUGCGAUAAGCGUCGGUAAGGUGAUAUGAACCGUUAUAACCGGCGAUUUCCGAAUGGGGAAACCCAGUGUGUUUCGACACACUAUCAUUAACUGAAUCCAUAGGUUAAUGAGGCGAACCGGGGGAACUGAAACAUCUAAGUACCCCGAGGAAAAGAAAUCAACCGAGAUUCCCCCAGUAGCGGCGAGCGAACGGGGAGCAGCCCAGAGCCUGAAUCAGUAUGUGUGUUAGUGGAAGCGUCUGGAAAGGCGCGCGAUACAGGGUGACAGCCCCGUACACAAAAAUGCACAUGCUGUGAGCUCGAUGAGUAGGGCGGGACACGUGGUAUCCUGUCUGAAUAUGGGGGGACCAUCCUCCAAGGCUAAAUACUCCUGACUGACCGAUAGUGAACCAGUACCGUGAGGGAAAGGCGAAAAGAACCCCGGCGAGGGGAGUGAAAAAGAACCUGAAACCGUGUACGUACAAGCAGUGGGAGCACGCUUAGGCGUGUGACUGCGUACCUUUUGUAUAAUGGGUCAGCGACUUAUAUUCUGUAGCAAGGUUAACCGAAUAGGGGAGCCGAAGGGAAACCGAGUCUUAACUGGGCGUUAAGCUGCAGGGUAUAGACCCGAAACCCGGUGAUCUAGCCAUGGGCAGGUUGAAGGUUGGGUAACACUAACUGGAGGACCGAACCGACUAAUGUUGAAAAAUUAGCGGAUGACUUGUGGCUGGGGGUGAAAGGCCAAUCAAACCGGGAGAUAGCUGGUUCUCCCCGAAAGCUAUUUAGGUAGCGCCUCGUGAAUUCAUCUCCGGGGGUAGAGCACUGUUUCGGCAAGGGGGUCAUCCCGACUUACCAACCCGAUGCAAACUGCGAAUACCGGAGAAUGUUAUCACGGGAGACACACGGCGGGUGCUAACGUCCGUCGUGAAGAGGGAAACAACCCAGACCGCCAGCUAAGGUCCCAAAGUCAUGGUUAAGUGGGAAACGAUGUGGGAAGGCCCAGACAGCCAGGAUGUUGGCUUAGAAGCAGCCAUCAUUUAAAGAAAGCGUAAUAGCUCACUGGUCGAGUCGGCCUGCGCGGAAGAUGUAACGGGGCUAAACCAUGCACCGAAGCUGCGGCAGCGACGCUGAUGCGUUGUUGGGUAGGGGAGCGUUCUGUAAGCCUGCGAAGGUGUGCUGUGAGGCAUGCUGGAGGUAUCAGAAGUGCGAAUGCUGACAUAAGUAACGAUAAAGCGGGUGAAAAGCCCGCUCGCCGGAAGACCAAGGGUUCCUGUCCAACGUUAAUCGGGGCAGGGUGAGUCGACCCCUAAGGCGAGGCCGAAAGGCGUAGUCGAUGGGAAACAGGUUAAUAUUCCUGUACUUGGUGUUACUGCGAAGGGGGGACGGAGAAGGCUAUGUUGGCCGGGCGACGGUUGUCCCGGUUUAAGCGUGUAGGCUGGUUUUCCAGGCAAAUCCGGAAAAUCAAGGCUGAGGCGUGAUGACGAGGCACUACGGUGCUGAAGCAACAAAUGCCCUGCUUCCAGGAAAAGCCUCUAAGCAUCAGGUAACAUCAAAUCGUACCCCAAACCGACACAGGUGGUCAGGUAGAGAAUACCAAGGCGCUUGAGAGAACUCGGGUGAAGGAACUAGGCAAAAUGGUGCCGUAACUUCGGGAGAAGGCACGCUGAUAUGUAGGUGAAGUCCCUCGCGGAUGGAGCUGAAAUCAGUCGAAGAUACCAGCUGGCUGCAACUGUUUAUUAAAAACACAGCACUGUGCAAACACGAAAGUGGACGUAUACGGUGUGACGCCUGCCCGGUGCCGGAAGGUUAAUUGAUGGGGUUAGCGCAAGCGAAGCUCUUGAUCGAAGCCCCGGUAAACGGCGGCCGUAACUAUAACGGUCCUAAGGUAGCGAAAUUCCUUGUCGGGUAAGUUCCGACCUGCACGAAUGGCGUAAUGAUGGCCAGGCUGUCUCCACCCGAGACUCAGUGAAAUUGAACUCGCUGUGAAGAUGCAGUGUACCCGCGGCAAGACGGAAAGACCCCGUGAACCUUUACUAUAGCUUGACACUGAACAUUGAGCCUUGAUGUGUAGGAUAGGUGGGAGGCUUUGAAGUGUGGACGCCAGUCUGCAUGGAGCCGACCUUGAAAUACCACCCUUUAAUGUUUGAUGUUCUAACGUUGACCCGUAAUCCGGGUUGCGGACAGUGUCUGGUGGGUAGUUUGACUGGGGCGGUCUCCUCCUAAAGAGUAACGGAGGAGCACGAAGGUUGGCUAAUCCUGGUCGGACAUCAGGAGGUUAGUGCAAUGGCAUAAGCCAGCUUGACUGCGAGCGUGACGGCGCGAGCAGGUGCGAAAGCAGGUCAUAGUGAUCCGGUGGUUCUGAAUGGAAGGGCCAUCGCUCAACGGAUAAAAGGUACUCCGGGGAUAACAGGCUGAUACCGCCCAAGAGUUCAUAUCGACGGCGGUGUUUGGCACCUCGAUGUCGGCUCAUCACAUCCUGGGGCUGAAGUAGGUCCCAAGGGUAUGGCUGUUCGCCAUUUAAAGUGGUACGCGAGCUGGGUUUAGAACGUCGUGAGACAGUUCGGUCCCUAUCUGCCGUGGGCGCUGGAGAACUGAGGGGGGCUGCUCCUAGUACGAGAGGACCGGAGUGGACGCAUCACUGGUGUUCGGGUUGUCAUGCCAAUGGCACUGCCCGGUAGCUAAAUGCGGAAGAGAUAAGUGCUGAAAGCAUCUAAGCACGAAACUUGCCCCGAGAUGAGUUCUCCCUGACUCCUUGAGAGUCCUGAAGGAACGUUGAAGACGACGACGUUGAUAGGCCGGGUGUGUAAGCGCAGCGAUGCGUUGAGCUAACCGGUACUAAUGAACCGUGAGGCUUAACCUU
rnacentral:rRNA from 1 species